rfam:Arabis alpina cultivar Pajares chromosome 6, whole genome shotgun sequence.
AGCUGUGCGGAGAGGGCAAAGCGAGCUAUUCUUUAGCCUUUUACUAAAGAAUACCGUGUGCUCUCCGUGCGAAACGGCAUACGCCCAUUUUUGGAAGGGUUUUAAAGCUCA